GAUGAACGCUAGCUACAGGCUUAACACAUGCAAGUCGAGCGCCCGGCGCACGGGAGAGAAACACGUAUCAAACCCUCCCUUUAGUCGAGGAUAGCUUUUCGCAAGAACGAUUACUACCCGACAUAAAGUGUGGGGAUGCGUCCCAUUAGGUUGUUGGUGAGGGAACGGCUCACCAAGCCUUCGAUGGAGAGUGGUUCUGAGAGGAAGGUCCCCCACAUGGGAACUGAGACACGGUCCAAACUCCGAGGUGAGGCAGAAGGGAGGAAUAUUGGGCAAUGGACGCUAGCCUGAACCAGCCAAGUGGCGUGAAGGAGGCAGGGGUAGGGGUCGUAAAUUUCUUUUAUGUAAGAAGAGGGAUUAGAUGAAUAAGGAUCGGCUAACGCCGUGCCAGCAGCCGCGGUAAUAC
rnacentral:rRNA from 1 species